rnacentral:rRNA from 1 species
AGAGUUGAUCCUGGCUUAGGAUGAACGCUGGCGGCGUGCUUAACACAUGCAAGUCGAACGGAGUUUUAACGGAAGUUUCGGAUGGAAGUUUAGAAACUUAGUGGCGGACGGGUGAGUAACGCGUGGGUAACCUGCCUCAUACAGGGGGAUAACAGUUAGAAAUGACUGCUAACACCGCAUAAUAUAGCGAAACCGCAUGAUUUUUGCUAUCAAAUAUUUAUAGGUAUGAGAUGGGCCCGCGUCUGAUUAGCUAGUUGGUGGGGUAAAAGCCUACCAAGGCGACGAUCAGUAGCCGGCUUGAGAGAGUGACCGGCCACAUUGGGACUGAGACACGGCCCAAACUCCUACGGGAGGCAGCAGUGGGGAAUAUUGGACAAUGGGGGAAACCCUGAUCCAGCGAACCGCCGCGUGAGUGAAGAAGUAUUUCGGUAUGUAAAGCUCUAUCAGCAGGGAAGAUAAUGACAGUACCUGACUAAGAAGCCCCGGCUAACUACGUGCCAGCCGCUGC